UACGUAGGGGGCAAGCGUUGUCCGGAAUCAUUGGGCGUAAAGAGCGUGUAGGCGGCCCGGUAAGUCCGCUGUGAAAGUCCAGGGCUCAACCCUGGGAUGCCGGUGGAUACUGUCGGGCUCGAGUCCGGAAGAGGAGUGUGGAAUUCCUGGUGUAGCGGUGGAAUGCGCAGAUAUCAGGAGGAACACCAAUAGCGAAGGCAGCUCGCUGGGACGGUAUUGAC
rnacentral:rRNA from 1 species